rnacentral:piRNA from 1 species
UACUAUUGUCAGUCUCACAGG